CUCUCUCUCUCUCUCUGAUUUCCCCCCUUCUAUUUCCUUUUAAAUUUCUGAUCAUCCCCUUUUCUUCUUCUAGGGUUAGGAUUUUUAUUUCCCAUUUUUGACAUUUUCUCCCUCUCUUUUCUACUCAAGAGGGAAAGAAUGGGUGUUGAUGGUGAUUUCGUCAAUGGGGGCGAUUCGAGCGUCAGCAGCAACAACACAGUCACUGUCCACAUACGAUUCUCGAACAACUCUAAGUUCUCCAUUCAGACGGGCCUCGAUGUGACCAUUAGGGUUUUUAAGAUCAUCCUAGCCGAGAACUGCGAUGUCCCGGCUGAGCAACAACGUCUGAUUUAUAAGGGUGGGAUUUUGAAGGAUGAACAGACCAUGGAAAGCUAUGGUACGCACAAUCCCCGCUCUUUGAUGUUGUCCAUGCAUACUCCGUUCUUCUUUAUUCAUGAUUUUUCAAUAGGGUUUCUGUUAUUAAUCAUUGAAUUCUUAUGCUCGUGUGUGAUCCCUUUCAUCUAAUUGUGGUGGGAUUCUCAUAUUGGCAAGAGUGGUUAUUCAUUUGCACUUGCUUGUCAAUUCCAGGAACAGAUGAACUGUAUUUCUUUCCAAAAAACAAAGAAAGUAUACAAAAAUAGGGAGCUCACCUCAACCGCAAGACAGAUACCAGCCUUCACAUCCAAUCAAACCAAACUAAAACGACUUCGAGUAACAAAAAAAGGAGCUGCACCGUGUGAAUUUAAGGGUCUUAGGCAUGAAUUUGCAUUGUUUCUUAUGUUAUGGUCCACUUUUUUUUAGGUGUUGUGCUCAUACAGUCCAUUAUAGUUGCGGAUCCCACAUCAAAUGUCUAUUAAUCUCAUCAGCAAAUAUUCCUACCUAUCUGUUCUAAAAUUCUGUUACAUGUAUCGCGAUUAGUUAUGGUGUUUGCACCUAUUUCAGCAUAUAGGACUUGACACAUGAUUGUUUCUAGAGGAUUUAAAAGGGAUUUGUCUUGGGCUUCUGUGAUUAUUCUGGGCCCACACGAUCUGUGGGAGAUAUCUAUUUAGAAAACAGUUGGGUUUCAGAGUGUAUUAAGAAUUUUGGUUCUCAUUUUUUGUGUUUAAAGUAAGUGCGAAGUUUUUAAACUAGCUGAUUUGUUUUUAUGGCGAGAUUUUACUCUGCACUGGGUUUCCGGUUUCAUCCAACCGAAGUUGAGCUGGUUAUGUACUACCUUAAAAGACAGAUCAAUUGGAAGCCACUUGUCAAUGUUAAUGCGGUGGUUGAGAUUUACAAGUAUGAGCCUUGGGGUCUUCAAGUAUUGCUUCAUGCUUCAAGAAGAACCUCCCCUGCUCUAAAAAAGCACAAUGUAAGUAUACACGAUGUAGCUUAACUAUAUGGGAAGAGCUCUGCUAUGGCUAUUUGGCAGAGUAGGAUAUGAGUGGAAAUAUAGAAUCCUACUCUCCUCACACACGACAAUGUAGUACCUCUCACAAGGUCCAGGCAAUUCAGCAGUUGGGCAUCACUGUUUAUGUGCCAUGAUCUGAAAAUUAGGCUAUAUGGUCAUCUGGUGGGCCAGACAUGCACACGUGCUGCAAUGGCAUAUGCCACAUUUCUCAUCUGGGAACUCCAAUAUCAUAAUUUUUAGCCCAUGGAACCACCAGUUGAUCUUGAAAAAUGAUUUGUAUGGAUAACAUUCAUAUAUUGGUGCUAUCAUAUUUGCAGAUUAUUCCUUAUUCAUAAAUUGUGGAGGCAGUACAAUGAUUGUUGGGAAGCAAGAAUAUGAAGGUGAAUCAUCAGAAAUGGGACCCUCAGACAUUCUCUUCUACUGAUAGAUGGGCUUACAGUAGCACAGGGGAAGAGCUCUAUUAUGGCUCUUUUUUUUAGUUAAUCAUUCCCUUUCAGGCCACUAAUCAGAUCAGAUGGCUAGCACAGUCUUAUGGCAUUGCCUUUUAGGACAUGGCCCAUACAUGUGGCUAGCACAGUGGUCAGCAAUCAUUGUAUAGGCAUAUGCAAGUGUUUCUUGACAAUAGAGAUGUUUCCAUGCAUAUUCAUGGGACUCCAUAAAGUGAUUGUCAUAUUAGUAUUCCCCUAACUAAAAAACAGUUAGGAUCUAUCAAUAGUUUAUUCAACACUGCAUCCUUCCUUAGGCUGUAACACGGUUUGUAUGUACAUGCUGGUACCUUAAUCCGUUGUACUAAUUUGAUGCUUGUGUUCAUCUGUGUUGCAUGCAUUUGGGUGUUUGCAUGGAUUUUAUUUCUCAAUGAUUUUGUUGAGCCUCCAUACUGAUCUUUUGAUUUUGUACCAAAUGAAGGAAUAGAAUUCAUGUAGCUGACUCCAAUUAGUUAGGACAAGGCGGCGGCGGCGGCGAAUGUGACUGAUCACACGUUGGAGAUCCACUUCUACUGGGCUGGAUGUGAACUACUGCAAGUUUGGUGUUUGGAUGUGAACUACUGCUCUAACUUAUCAAAUGGUUGUGUUAGUCCAAUCCCCUGGCUUUUUGAGUAUGACCUGAUCAUUUUUCUUUUAGUGUGGAAAUGUCUCGUGCUUUUUUGUUUAGAAUCUUCUGUCUCUUGCAGGAUCGAGAUAGUUACUAGAAGAUGAUGCAGAAAUAUAUAGGUUCAUAUGUUACUUCAAUGGUGACGCUGUGGGAAUAUGUUAUUUGGAAUUUAUUUGGUUGGGAUAUGUUAUUCUGAGUGGACUUAUAUUUGUAAGUUUCGCCAAUCUGUAAUGUCAUUUUUGAAUUUCCCACUUCA